rnacentral:rRNA from 1 species
AAAUGAAUAGACGGGGACCCGCACAAGCGGUGGAACAUGUGGUUUAAUUCGAAGCAACGCGAAGAACCUUACCAGGACUUGACAUCUAGAGAACCUCUGUGAAAGCAGGGGGUGCCUUUCGGGGAACUCUAAGACAGGUGGUGCACGGUUGUCGUCAGCUCGUGUCGUGAGAUGUUGGGUUAAGUCCCGCAACGAGCGCAACCCUCGUCGUUAGUUGCUAACAAGAGCACGCUCUUGUUGAGCUCUCUAGCGAGACUGCCGGUGAUAAACCGGAGGAAGGUGGGGAUGACGUCAAAUCAUCAUGCCCCUUAUGUUCUGGGCUACACACGUGUUACAAUGGGUAAAACAGCGAGCAGCAAGCCGGCGACGGCAAGCAAAUCUCUUAAAUUUAUCCUCAGUUCGGAUUGUAGUCUGCAACUCGACUACAUGAAGCUGGAAUCGCUAGUAAACGCAGAUCAGCACGCUGCGUUGAAUACGUUCCCGGGUCUUGUACACACCGCCCGU